rnacentral:rRNA from 1 species
GACGAACGCUGGCGGCGUGCUUAACACAUGCAAGUCGAACGGAAAGGCCCUGCUUUUGUGGGGUGCUCGAGUGGCGAACGGGUGAGUAACACGUGAGUAACCUGCCCUUGACUUUGGGAUAACUUCAGGAAACUGGGGCUAAUACCGGAUAGGAGCUCCUGCUGCAUGGUGGGGGUUGGAAAGUUUCGGCGGUGGGGGAUGGACUCGCGGCUUAUCAGCUUGUUGGUGGGGUAGUGGCUUACCAAGGCUUUGACGGGUAGCCGGCCUGAGAGGGUGACCGGCGACAUUGGGCCUAAGAUACGGCCCAGACUCCUACGGGAGGCAGCAGUGGGGAAUAUUGCACAGUGGGCGGAAGCCUGAUGCAGCAACGCCGCGUGCUGGAUGACGGCCUUCGGGUUGUAAACCGCUUUCGCCUGUGACGAAGCGUGAGUGACGGUAAUGGGUAAAGAAGCACCGGCUAACUACGUG